AUGUGGCCGGCCGCUGCUUCCCCCUCUACGCUCAAGCUGAGGCUGAGAACCUGGUUGUUCUUUCAGGAACAGAGGCGGCUGAGCCAGGAACGGGAUCGCCUAGAGGGUCUUCGCCAGAGACUCCGGGAGGCCCAGGGACAGCUCGACUCCCAGCCAGAGGACCAGCGCGAGCGGCUUCUGCAGCGUGUGCAGGAGAUGAGGGAACAACUGGAUGUGGCCCAACGCGCCUAUGAGGACCUGGAGUUCCAGCAACUGGAGCGGGAGAGCCGGCAGGAGGAGGAGGAUCGGGACCGCCCUGGGCCCCAGGCGCCAGACCCCAAGGUCCAGGAACUUCAGGCCAGCACGGCGCAGCACAGACGCCGAAUCCGGGUCCUGGAAGAGCAGCUCAAGUCACUGGGGGAACAGAUGGCAGCCGAGAGCCGGGGGCUGAGCCGGAAGAAGGAGGAGGCCCUUCAGGCCCUGUCACAGGAACGGAGCCGGCUGCUCGAGCUCAAUUGCCUUCAGGGAACACCUGGCGGGGACUUCUCUGAGCCCAACCCAGCCCUCACUAAGCUGCUGUUCACCCAGAAGACAGACCACCAGCUACUGGUGCUCCAGGACCCCGCGGCCCACUCCGCUGCCACCCCUACUUCUUCUUGCCUCUUCUCUGUCCACAGCUCCCUGCAGGUACCUCCCCCACUGCCUCUGUUUCCCCAUAUGUCUUAUUGGUCAGCGGGGAGGGAGGGGCUAGGAGCAGAGUCCCCAAACUGGGGUCUCCAGAACUUCCACUCUGAUUUUCUAUACGGGGGUGGGGGGAUAGGAAAGGCUGGCCAAGAGGAUAUUCCUAUGACUCCAGCUUUAUUAUUAUUAUUUUUUUCUGCGUAACACCCACCCCUGCCCUGGUGAAAUGGGAACAUGUGCACCUAGGAGUAGACUUUAAAAGCAACCGAACAGUGUAUUUUAAUAAGAAGGUCUCCCCUUCUCAGAAGUAAUGCAGCUACUUGUGUUUUGAGAAUCCUUCUAGACUUCCUUAAAACUGUGGGGAUCGGGGGGCAGCUCAUUAACAGUUACAACAGACGGCCAGCACGGUGGCUCAUGCCUGUAAUCCCAGCACUUUGGGAGGGCAAGGUGGGCGGAUAGCCUGAGGUCAGGAGUUCGAGACCAGCCUGGCCAGGAUGGUGAAAUCCCAUCUCUACCAAAAAUACAAAAAUUAGCCCGGCAUGGUGAUGUGAGGCUGAGGCACGAGAAUUGAUUGAACCUGAGAAGGCAGAGGUUGCAGUGAGCCGAGAUUAGGCCACUGUACUCCAGCCUGGGCGACAGAGUGAGACUUUGUCUCAAAAAAAAAAAAAAAUCCCUAAUCUAAAAUGCUCGAAAAUCUGAAACUCUUUGAGUGCCUACAUGACGCUCCAAGGAAAUGCACAUUGGAGCAGUUUGGGUUUCAGAGUUUUAGGUUACAGAUGCUCAACCCAAAUAUUCCAAAAUCUGAAAGAAAAUCCCAAAUCUGAAACCUUUCUGGUCCCAAGUAUUUCCGAGAAGGGAUAUUCAACCCGUCCUUUUGAAAAAGAUGUGUAUUAGCUACUAGUUGGCUUUUCUUUUUAAAAAUGAUAUAUUUUGAACAUAUUUAUGGGGUACAUAUGAUGUUACAUGCAUAGAAUGCAUAAUAAGUCAGGGUAUUUGGGGUAUCCAUCUCAAGUAUUUAUCACUUCUGUAUGUUGAGAACAUUUCAAGUCCUCUUCUAGCAUUUUUUUUUUUUUUUUUGACAGAGUCUCACUCUGUUGCCCAGGCUGGAGUGCAAUGGUGGGAUCACAGCUCACUGCAGCCUCAACCUACCAGGCUCAGGUGAUCCUCCCUGAGUAGCUGGGACCACAGGCACGCACCAUGUACAACCACACACCACCUUGCACCACCACACACAACCACCCACCACCACGCACAACCACGCACCACCACACCUCAUCCACCACACACAGCCACGCAUCACCACGCACCGCCAUGCACCGCCACACACAACCAUGCACUGCCACACACAACCGCGCACCGCCACGCACCGCCAUGCACCGCCAUGCACCACCACGCACAACCACGCACAACCACGCACAAGCACGCACCACCAAGCACAGCUGAUUUUUGAAGUUAUUUUGGUACAGAUGAGGUCUCCCUAUGUUGCCCAAGCUGGUCUUGAACCCUUGGGCUCAAGUGGUCCUCCUGCUUUAGCCUCCCAAAUUGCUGGGGUUACAGGCAUGAGCCACCAUGCAUGGGCCCAAUUUGCAGCAAUAGGGUCUCACUGGCUUUUAUUUAUUUAUUUAUUUGUUUGAGACAGAGUUUCACUCUUGUUGAUCAGGCUGGAGUACAAUGAUGUGAUCUCAACUCACUGCAACCUCCGCCUCCUGGGUUCAAGUGAUUCUCCAGCCUCAGCCUCCUGAGUAGCUGGGAUUAUAGGCGUGUGCUACCACACCUGGCUAAUUUUUGUAUUUUUAAUAGAGAUGGGGUUUUGCCAUGUUGGCCAGGCUGGUCUUGAACUCCUGACCUCAGGUGAUCUGCCUGCCUUGGCCUCCCAAAGUGCUGGGAUUACAGGUGUGAUCCACUAUGCCUGGCCCACAGGUUUUUAUUUUUUGACUUAACUCUAUCUUGGAGAUUGUUUUAUAUUGAUAUAUUUAGAGUUGCCUCAUUUUUAAUGACUUUACAAUAAUAAUAAUAAUAUUAACAAAAGCAAUAAUAAUAACAAUGGUUUUAUUGAGUCAUUAUAGUGUGCAAGGCGUGGUUGCAAAUGCUUCAUGCUGAUUGGCUUACUGAUUUGUCUUUGCAACAAAUCUGUGAGCUAGGUUCUUGUUUCCAUGGCAAAAACACCAUGACAGAGAGGUUAAGUUGUUUAACCAGCUAGUAUGUGGAAGAGCUGGGAUUUGAACCCAGGAACUCUGUGUUCAGAACCUAGGUUCUUUUUCCCUU
rnacentral:lncRNA from 10 species